CCUACGGGUGGCAGCAGUGAGGAAUAUUGGUCAAUGGACGAAAGUCUGAACCAGCCAAGUAGCGUGAAGGAUGACUGCCCUAUGGGUUGUAAACUUCUUUUAUAUGGGGAUAAAACGAUCCUCGUGUGGGUUUUUGUGUGUACCAUAUGAAUAAGGAUCGGCUAACUCCGUGCCAGCAGCCGCGGUAAUACGGAGGAUCCGAGCGUUAUCCGGAUUUAUUGGGUUUAAAGGGAGCGUAGGUGGAUUGUUAAGUCAGUGGUGAAAGUUUGCGGCUCAACCGUAAAAGUGCAGUUGAAACUGGCAGUCUUGAGUACAGUAGAGGUGGGCGGAAUUCGUGGUGUAGCGGUGAAAUGCUUAGAUAUCGCGAAGAACUCCGAUUGCGAAGGCAGUUCACUGGACUGCAACUGACACUGAGGCUCGAAAGUGUGGGUAUCAAACAGGAUUAGAUACUCGGGUAGUC
rnacentral:rRNA from 1 species